AUAAUUACAGUGAAAGAACGAGUACGCAUUAGCCCGUUUAAAGAGAGAUGCUUUCUUGGCUGAAAAAAGCAUUAACGAAGAAAUGCGGAAUGCUAUUCUGGAGUAGCGAGUAUAUCGCCGUCACCUGCGUUAAAGGGCUUAAGUGAUAAUAAGAGAAUUCUUAUUAUAAUUAAGGGUGGUACCGCGUGAAAACAAUCUCGUCCCUUUA
rnacentral:ncRNA from 1 species